GCGGGCGUAGUUCAGUGGUAGAACACCAGCUUCCCAAGCUGGAUAUGCGGGUUCGAUUCCCGUCGCCCGCUCC
rnacentral:tRNA from 1 species